rnacentral:rRNA from 1 species
ANNRGGCGNCUAANCAUGCAGUCGAGCGGUAAGGCCCUUCGGGGUACACGAGCGGCGAACGGGUGAGUAACACNUGGGUGAUCUGCCUUGCACUUCGGGAUAAGCCUGGGAAACCGGGUCUAAUACCGGAUAUGACCACGAGAUGCAUGUCUUGUGGUGGAAAGAUUUAUCGGUGCGAGAUGGGCCCGCGGCCUAUCAGCUUGUUGGUGAGGUAACGGCUCACCAAGGCGACGACGGGUAGCCGACCUGAGAGGGUGACCGGCCACACUGGGACUGAGACACGGCCCAGACUCCUACGGGAGGCAGCAGUGGGGAAUAUUGCACAAUGGGCGAAAGCCUGAUGCAGCGACGCCGCGUGCGGGAUGACGGCCUUCGGGUUGUAAACCGCUUUUGACAGGGACGAAGCGCAAGUGACUGUACCUGUAGAAUAAGGACCGGCCAACUACGUGCCAGCAGCCGCGGUAAUACGUAGGGUCCGAGCGUUGUCCGGAAUUACUGGGCGURRRGAGCUUGUAGGCGGUUCGUCGCGUCNUUUGUGAAAACUUGGGGCUCAACCUUAAGCUUGCAGGCGAUACGGGGCGGACUANAGUACUUCUGGG